rnacentral:rRNA from 1 species
UACGAAGGGGGCUAGCGUUGCUCGGAAUUACUGGGCGUAAAGCGCACGUAGGCGGUCUUUUAAGUCGGUGGUGAAAUCCUGGAGCUCAACUCCAGAACUGCCUUCGAUACUGGAAGACUUGAGUCCGGGAGAGGUGAGUGGAACUGCGAGUGUAGAGGUGAAAUUCGUAGAUAUUCGCAAGAACACCAGUGGCGAAGGCGGCUCACUGGCCCGGUACUGACGCUGAGGUGCGAAAGCGUGGGGAGCGAACGGG